UUCCAUAUAUAAAAACCUAGAAUCCCUACCUAACCCCAUUCUUCUCUUCUUCCUUAUUUCAUCUUCUUUCUUUCUCCAAUAAUUGCAGCUAGCCGGCCGUUUAUUAAAGAAAAUGAAGAAUCACAAUCGGCCACCUCCAGUCCGACCGGCCAUCCCAUCCCCACCACCGACUGUGUCCCCGUCUCCUGUCUCCCAUCAUUAAUCUCUCUCUUUAGCUUUGGGUUAAAGAUCAAAGUUGGUGUUUGGAGUUGAGAUAUUCAUAGAAACAAAUGGUGGGCGAAGAUAGAUCGACUUUUAGAGAUGAUGGCUGGGGUUUGUUUUUUUUUUUUUGUUUAAAUAUUAUUGGGAUUUAAAUAAUGGGUUUAAUUUUUAUUCUUUUUCUUUUUGAAAUAAUGAUAUUUUUUUGAGUGUACUGUUAUUUUUUUUUCUCUUUUCGUUUUAGUUAUUAUUUUUUUUAUUGUUUGUGAAUUUAAUCUUCACAUCUUCACAGUGUAUAUAUGUGUCAGUAUAUUACAUAUUCAAGGCAUUUCUUUUGCUA